CCCUUAGAUGUCCUGGGCCGCGCGCGCGCUACACUGAUGCAUUCAACGAGUAUUUCCUUGGCCGAGAGGCCUGGGCAAUCUUUUAAACCUGCAUCGUGAUAGGGAUAGAUUAUUGCAAUUAUUAAUCUUGAACGAGGAAUUCCUAGUAAACGCAAAUCAUCAAUUUGCAUUGAUUACGUCCCUGCCCUUUGUACACACCGCCCGUCGCACCUACCGAUUGAAUGGUCCGGUGAAAUCUCGGGAUUGUGGCCAGUUCACUUUAUUGGGAGUUGGCUGCGAGAACUUGCUUAAACCUUAUCAUUUAGAGGAAGGUGAAGUCGUAACA
rnacentral:rRNA from 1 species